rfam:Zunongwangia atlantica 22II14-10F7 contig5, whole genome shotgun sequence.
AUUUUGCGUUAGGGAUAGCAGCGGUUAGCUUUUUGUGAGGCGACGAACAAAAACUAAAAGCGAAUAGCCCGCCGUUUG